CCGGUACAGAGUCAAUGUGGAGGCUAUAUACAGGGGGUACCAGUACAGAGUCAAUGUGGAGGCUAUAUACAGGGGGUACCGGUACAGAGUCAAUGUGGAGGCUAUAUACAGGGGGGUACCGGUACAGAGUCAAUGUGGAGGCUAUAUACAGGGGGUACCGGUACAGAGUCAAUGUGGAGGCUAUAUACAGGGGGUACCGGUACAGAGUCAAUGUGGAGGCUAUAUACAGGGGGUACCAGUACAGAGUCAAUGUGGAGGCUAUAUACAGGGGGUACCGGUACAGAGUCAAUGUGGAGGCUAUAUACAGGGGGGUACCGGUACAGAGUCAAUGUGGAGGCUAUAUACAGGGGGUACCGGUACAGAGUCAAUGUGGAGGCUAUAUACAGGGGGUACUGGUACAGAGUCAAUGUGGAGGCUAUAUACAGGGGGUACCGGUACAGAGUCAAUGUGGAGGCUAUAUACAGGGGGUACCGGUACAGAGUCAAUUUGGAGGCUAUAUACAGGGGGUACCGGUACGGAGUCAAUGUGG
rnacentral:lncRNA from 1 species